GUCCAGUUCCUUGUUCAAAAUGCCAAGAACCUGGAUGACUCAUAGUCAAGACCCUCCACCAGUAACAUAUAUUGGCGAGCCAGCCAGGAGACCACUACAGGAAACACUCCAUUUAUUCCACCUGACUUCCCACUUGGCUGCAUCCUCAACCAUUGAAAUGAAUUUGACCCUGAUAAUCUAAGGAGGAAACAUUUGAUAUUCUUUUGCAAUAAUACUUGGCCCCAGUAUUGUUUGGAAUCUGGAGUUUGCUGUUGAAUGGGAAAGCAGGAUGACGUUGCAUGUAUCCAGGCUUUGGUGCUGCUGUCCUAAGAAGGGUCAGGCCUAGUCAGCAUAUGGUGCUCUCCUUUGGUGCUAUUUGGCUCCAGUGUCUUUGGAGUCUGAGGAGGUUUGGCCUUUAAAAAUCAAACUGCCACCGGAACUGCUUUAAAAAUGUUUGGUUCACAGCCUUCACUGGAUUACCUAUUGGAGCAAACAAAGUGUAACCAUGUAAAACCUGUGAGCUUGUAUUGAUAUCUCAUGGCUAGAGUUCCAAGGUAAAAGCUAUUGGAUCUUCGUUUGUGUGUGUGUAUACAUGUCUAGAUGUGUUUAUUUGUAUGUACACUUAUUGUUAUAUGUUGUGUCAACCAAAUCAGCUUAUAAAUAAAAAAGCACUCAUAAAUUAAAUAAAUAAGUCCAAGCAAUUUUCAAGUUCAUGUGACUUAAGUAAAUCUUCAUUAAAUAGCUGGCUUUAAAAUUAUUGGUAAAAUGAAAAUAGAAAUAUCUUCAGAAUUGUCAGCAUACAUUUUUGUCUGGGUUUUAUAUUUGUCUUUGCUAGAAAUGUUGAAGUGUCAGCAUUUGGCAUAGAAGAUUAUAAAGCUAUUAACCCAGCCAAAACAAAAUGGCCUUAGUUUAUGUGGCUUCUUUGACAAAUGAGACUAAUUUAAUAUUGUUAGCUAAAUCUUCUGGGUUAUUGGCAAAAACACCUAUGUAUUUAACUGUGAGGUUCUUAUUUAGGUGAACACAUAAUGUUCAUUGGCUAUUAAAAAUGGUUAACAAAUAAAUAACUAACUUUAAAUGAUGGUGUCUAAUAUCUCAGUUUUCAGAAGUAAUCUAGAUAAACUGUUAAAAAUGAAAGACUUAAGUACAUGUAAAUGGGAUGAAUGAUUAGGUAAAUUUUGUGUAAUUUAAAAUCUUAAAAGUAUUUUUGAUGCCCAUUGGAUAUCUCAGUCAUUUCCAAUUAAGAAAGGGUUAUGAUAGGGAGGAAUAUGUUUCCAAAAAUUGUGGAAUUAUUCUCAUCUAUAAAAUGCUAAUAUCUGAUAGUUUAGGAUUUUUUGCUUCCUAAGGUUUCACUAAAAUUUAAGGUUACUAAGAUGAUAUGGUUUGGCUUUGCAUCCCCACCCAAAUCUCUUCUUAUAACUCCCAUAAUUACCGUGUGUUGUGGGGAGGGAUCCAGUGGGUGAGAGAUGAUUGAAUUAUGCUGUUCUCAUGAUAGCGAAUGGGUCUCAUGAGAUCUGAUGGUUUUGAAAAUGGGAGUUGCCCUGCACAAGCUCUCCUUUUGCCUGCUGCCAUCCACAUAAGAUGUGAUUUGCUCUUCCUUGCCUUCCACCAUGAUUGUGAGGCCUUCCCAGCAUGUGGAAAUGUAAGUCCAAUAAACCUCUUUCUUUUGUAAAUUGCCC
rnacentral:lncRNA from 1 species